GAUGAACGCUGGCGGCGUGCCUAAUACAUGCAAGUCGAACGCAUUGAGAGAAGUGCUUGCACUUUUCAAUUUGAGUGGCGAACGGGUGAGUAACACGUGGGCAACCUACCUGAUAGCGGGGGAUAACGAGUGGAAACAUUCGCUAAUACCGCAUAACAAUAGAGAAGGCAUCUUCUUUAUUUAAAAGGCGCUUUCAAGCGUCACUAUCAGAUGGGCCCGCGGUGCAUUAGUUAGUUGGUGGGGUGAAGGCCUACCAAGACGAUGAUGCAUAGCCGGGUUGAGAGACUGAUCGGCCACAUUGGGACUGAGACACGGCCCAAACUCCCACGGGAGGCUGCAGUAGGGAAUCUUCCACAAUGGACGAAAGUCCGAUGGAGCAACGCCGCGUGUGUGAUGAAGGCUUUCGGGUCGUAAAGCACUGUUGUAUGGGAAGAAAUGCUAGACUAGGAAAUGAGCUUAGUUUGACGGUACCAUACCAGAAAGGGACGGCUAAAUACGUGCCAGCAGCCGCCGUAA
rnacentral:rRNA from 1 species